rnacentral:rRNA from 1 species
CUGUGAAAUCGCAGCGCUCAACGUUGCGGCGCGCAGGAGAGACUGCUCGGCUCGGGACCGGGAGGCGUAUGAGGUAUUCUGGGGGUAGCGGUAAAAUGCGAUAAUCCCCAGAGGACCACCUGUGGCGAAGGCGUCAUACGAGAACGGAUCCGACGGUGAGGGACGAAAGCUAGGGGAGCGAACCGGAUUAGAUACCCGAGUAGUCCUAGCAGUAAACCCUGCGAGCCAGGUGUCGCGCAUUCUACGGGAGUGUGCGGUGUCGUAGAGAAGUCGUUAAGCUCGCCGCCUGGGAAGUACGGUCGCAAGGCUGAAACUUAAAGGAAUUGGCGGGGAAGCACUACAAGGGGUGCGGCGUGCGGUUUAAUUGUAUUCAACACCGAACAUCUUACCGGGAGCGACGGUAGAAUGAAGGUCAGUCUGAAGGGCUUACCUGACAAGCCGAGAGGUGGUGCAUGGCCGUCGUCAGCUCGUGCUGUGAAGUGUCCUGUUAAGUCAGGCAACGAGCGAGACCUAUGCCCACAAUUGGCAGCGAGCAGCGUGCUGUGAUCGGGCACUUUGUGGGGACUGCCUCGGAAACGAGGGGAAGGUGUAGGCCACGAUAGGUCUGUAUGCCCCGAAUCUUCCGGGCUACACGCGCGCAACAAUGGUCGAGACAAUGGGCUGCGACACCGAGAGGUGGAGCUAAUCCUCGAAACUCGGCCCUAGUACGGAUCGAGGUUUGCAACUCAACCUCGUGACGCCGGAAUCC